UACGUAGGUGGCAAGCGUUGUCCGGAUUUACUGGGCGUAAAGAGCGCGCAGGCGGUCGAUCAAGUCGCGUGUGAAAGCCCCCGGCUCAACUGGGGAGGGUCACGCGACACUGAUCGACUCGAAGGCAGGAGAGGGUAGUGGAAUUCCCGGUGUAGUGGUGAAAUGCGUAGAUAUCAGGAGGAACACCGGUGGCGAAGGCGGAUCUCUGGGCCUUACCUGACGCUGAGGCGCGAAAGCUAGGGGAGCGAACAGG
rnacentral:rRNA from 1 species